AGCACCUGCUACAUUCGGUGCGUCUCAGCUCUUCCCCAGGGCCUCUCUCUCUAUCUUUGCUGAUUACCAGGAUGGUUGUUAUAUUCUUAAACCUCCUGGCACCUCAGAUAAACUCAUCUGUAUAUCCCCUGACACUAGAAAAAUGGGUGUUCUGUUACCAAAAGCCACAAUUCCUACACAAAUCAGCAGGAGCCAGGAAGAGCGAGGACUACAGCCUAGGACUUCAAGCCCCUAAUAUUUCAAAUCUAGAACAACAUCAGUUGCCAGCAGUAGUAUGUCCCUUAUCUUUUCUGCAGGCCCAGCCAUUAUAGGACUAUCAUACACACAAAUCUCCAGCUGCUAUUCAGUAUAUAGCCUCAGUUUGUAGCUCACAGUCCACACUGAAGAGCUGGCCAUUCUAACUUCAAAUAGAGACAGCAAAAGCAAAUGAUAUUUGAUUGCCUUGGCUGACAAUAAGGGCUGUUCGCUGGUAGCUUGCCUUGUGUGGGUACUGUCCUCUCAUUAAAGUGUUGUGCUGGGCCUAAGGCAUCCUUGGAGGUGUGUGGCGGGGAUCUUACUGUAAAUUAGCUGUUAAGGGGAAAUUCUCUGCCUUAUGAGACAAGCUAAUGGAGAAACUAGAUUCCACCCAUUACCGCAGAAGCAAGUAGUGUCAUGCUAGACCAAACUUAAGCACAGUCCAGGGUUGGCCAUAGAACUUGACAGCUCUUACUACAGAGGAGGAGGAGAAACCCAUGAUUUUCCAGUUCUCCAUAUCUGAGAAGAGAAGAUUUGCAGACACCUGCAGAUUUCCUUUCUCCUCUCCCUUCGUUCUUUACUCUGUGCAGAAAAUCCUCACUAUGAAAGGACUCAGAGUAAAAGGGAGUGCUCUUCUGCUGGGGACCUAACCUCUGACUCUCUUUGCAGUUAAACAAAGGCUUCCUGGGAGAACAGUCUGUACAGACAGUGCAUUGGCAUCAGGCUCCUUCGAAGAACUGUCUACAUUGGAAGCAGUCGCAGGGCUCAGUGCCCUUCCGAGAGGGGCUCCCUCCUGAACACCAGCAUCCCAGAAAGCAUGACCAGACAGGCCUCACAAGGCCUCACAGACUAAUCACUAUGCCAGUGUAAGCACAUAACAGAAUGACCUGAGCUAGGACUACCUGUGCAGUACUUCAGACUGUUUGGAGCCAGGAUUUUGGGUCAGUCCUGUUUGCGUGGCAGGAGGCUGCUCAAAAACUUGGAUGUGGAGAAUUCCGUGUCCUCAGUGUAUAGUUUCAGAGCUUCUACCUACACAAAACACCUUAAACAUGUUCCCUUUUCAGGGUCCUGGGAGACCUGUUAUUUCCUUUACCAAUGAGGAAACUGAGGCAUUAGGAUACUAAGUGACCUCCCUAUAACCACCGAAGGACAGAAGAUUUCACCUGAGUUGCUGCUGGACACUCAUGACCAGGCUAAACCAAGGGGAUGGGGUGAGGUUAAGGGAGAGUAUCUCUGCCAAAUUAAUGGAGGGUGAAACAAGAACUGUACAUGGCUAGAAGCUGGAUAGCUACACUUCCCAGCAGUCACCCAGCCAUGAAGCUUAGGGACAUGGCUCAUGUCUGGCUCAGCUGCUGAUCUUGCCUUUGGUUUUCCUUUCUUUCUCCCUGGUGAACAGGCAGCUUGGCACUCAGGCUGGAUCCAGUAGGCUGUGGGCAGUGCAUGUACCCAUCUGACUGGGAGCUCUCUGAGAGGCAGCCCCUUCUCACUGAGGACUACUGGUGCUAUGGUAAUGUAAGAGACUGAAGGGUUGAAACAGGAUUUAUGCUGAAAUUGUGCCCAACCUGACAUUCCCCAGGUUGAGUGUUGGGUCCUUAGGGGCCACACCUGAAAUACAGCUGCUCUCCACUGCAGGCGCAGCACACAGAGAUGCCAGCUCCCACCAUACUAUGUUCCUCCUCGGGCUGAAUCUUCUGGAUACAGGACCAGGCUUUCUACAGGCUGCACAGCUGUGUUGAAAAUGAAGGCAGCUCAGAGAUGCUCUGUAGGAUGCCAGGGGUUCUAUGUGGUCUUAUUGCCACACAGAGCUGCCUCUGAGCUAAAGCAACAAUGCCAGGCACUGAGUUGCUGUUUAAAGUCCCCAUAAUCCUGGUGCCUAGAAAAAAGGUGAUACAAUCAGUGACUGGAAGCACACUUGAAAGGGAGACAUGAAGAGCACACAAGUCCCUCUGCUAUCAUCUUGGGAUGCUGACUGUACUGGGGCUAUUUAACUUCUGGCUGGAAGCCAUGGGGGCCUGGUUAAUCCUAUGGUGAGUAACCGGGGUCCUGUUACAGUGGACUUCCCAAUAUGCUGUUAGACUUGCUUUUCUGCAAAUGUCUUGCUCAUUUAUCAAGCAUCAUCCAAGGCUGAAUGAAAAACAACAGGGCCAAGAUAAAAACAUAAAGAUUAAAGCUGCCCUCCAGAGACUUCCAACCCUAAUUCUUUGCACUGGGAAAUCUAGGUUGUGAAAGGCAGCAUGCACUUUGUGACCAGGAAAAAAAGGGCCACUAGUGUUGUUUGUUGAAAGGCAAUUGGAACUGAGGUGCAUCCCUGGUGGAAUAGGUGGACAUCAGGGAGGGACUGUGGGGUAGGCGUGAGGGUGAGACUGUUGGUUUUCUUGGCCAGUUGAUGCCACGCUAUGAUCUAGUCUCCAUGGAACAGGCAGAGAGCAGGCUUCUGGGAAUACACUUGAGUAGCACUAGUUGCCUUGAGCUGUAAUUACCACUUGGCAGAGAACCCCGCUUCCAGCAGAAUAGCUAGCAGUGACCAGCACUACUACUUCCACUGCCCCUUACCUGGCACUGCAGUACACUCGUAGAGUGCCCACGGAGGGACUUGGGGUUGUUGGCAGUCUUUCUGGGGGAAAGAUGGGUUCAUCUCAUCUGUAAGGCUCCAGCUUACAAAGGGGAUCAAAACAACAGCAUCCUGAGCUCCUUGUUUUAAGGCAAAUGUUUGUCGCUCUGAGUGGCGUGAGGCAAUACGCAUUCAUCCCCUGGGUCCUAGAAUAUGUCCCUUUGCAUCCAGGCAGUGCCAUUCUGCCCUAGACAGAGUCACUCACAAUACGAGGAGCUGCUACUUGGAACAGUGUUAGUCCAUAAUCUCCAAUGACCCUCCUCGCCCCAGACUGAGAAUCACAGGACCCCAGCCCAAAGGUAAAGAAGUCUUCUAGUCCAGCCGUCGUAUGUGGAUCUGAUUUGGACAGUUGGGAGGUGAAGUAUAAUGCCUGCUCUUUCACUGGUACUGAAAAUCCUUUGCAUCAUUUCUGAGAGAAGUCAACCCAGGAGAUGCUAUAUACUAUGAAGUUAUGUUCUGGCCACUUUGAACACCAGCUGGGGAGUAAAUGUCAUUUUUAGCAUGAUUACAUAUCCCCCCUCCACACACACAUCCAUAAAUUGGCCGUACAAAAUUAUCAUGCAGUUUACCAGACUAGGUCGAUGAAAAAUAAAAAACACCCACACACUUUAUUUUACUGCCUCCCCAUUUGCACCCCCCCAAAUAAAAUUGUUUCCCCAGGUGAAAAUGUAGGUAAUAUUUCUGCAGGGCUGCAAUUUAGGCAGUGUGCUGUGAGAUUAUACCGAGGUAGAUUUGCACACCUGCCAAUCAUAAAGUUUUAAAAUCCAGCCAUUAUUUUUAAAUAUGGGCACUUAAAGGUCAGAAUAAUUUUUUAUAUAUACAGAAAAAAAGGCCUUUUUUACUCUUAAGUGGCUGGAAAGUUUCACUUAGGCUUUCCAAAGUACUUCACAGGUGACCUGACACAAAAUGCAACAUGCUAGUUGUGUUGUCCUCUAGCGAUUGAUCCGUAUAACAACAAAAGAACCUACUACUGCUAGCAACUAGCAGAGUUUCUCCAUGCAAAUGAUAGAUACCCAUUUUUUAACCUCUGAAAGUCUUAGAUUCAAGUACCAUUAAGGAGCUAGGAUUAGGUCUGUUCCUCUAAUGCAGAAUGAAAUAAUCAAAGCAAAAUAUUUUUUUCCAGAAUGCAAUGAGCAAAUGCAAAGUACUUUUCACAUUAACAGUAUUUUGAAAUAUUUUACACAGGAGUACUCACUAGCCCUAUUACCUACAACAUAUACCCAUCUUGCGCACACACAUUUUCUGUAUUAUAUACUGAAGAAAAGGAGUUGAAUGUAUGCUGGAUCUCACACACACACACACACACACACGCACGCACGCACAGCAUUUCUCUUCUGCAUCUCUGUAGCUGCCUAACAAAGGUUUCCCUGUAAAGCAAAACAGCCUUUUAAAUUUAUAUAGUACCUUUUGCCUAUAGGGUCUUACAGACUAUAUACAGAAAUAAUCUCACCCAUCACUGAGAUGCAGCCGUUUCUGGAGUGGAACAAAGCAGGUAAUGAAGAGUCUCACAGCAACACUAAAAGCCAGGAAAAAACAAAUAAUGUACCCAGUUGGAACUGCAGCACAAAUUUAAGGAGACAGACUGCAAUUAAAUGUAUGGAUUUUAAUUUGGUCAAGACACUGUGCAAGGUGCUAUGGGAUCAUUAAUGACAAAGGGGCAAGGACCCUGGUUUCCAUCUCAGCUGAAAGAUAUUACUUCUAACAGCACAGUGCCCUCCAGCAUGAGGUUGGGUCUAGUACUGACUCCUAAACCACACAUACUACUGUCUGUAGAUCUGUAGUGGCCUCCCAUCCACAUAUUAACAUAACAUAGCCUUGUUUAGCUUGUGAGGCUCUAGUCUAGACAAAGACAGCUUUGCCUCAAA